UUGGGAGGUAGGGUCAUUUUGGUCAUUUUUAAUCAAGUUGGAUUUUGGGAAUUGAGUUACACUGUUGAAUAGAGCUUGUUGAUACGAGUUCGUAGACACGUAGUGGGCCUAAAUCGGAGUUUUAACGAAGAAGUUACGGUCAACGGAAGUGGAGUGGCACAACCGUAAUUUUUUCAAAGUCGGAUUUUUAAAAAUCGAGCUCAGCCUUUCUCUCUCCUCGACUCUCUCUCUCCUCUCUCACACUGUCGUGACAACCAGAUUUUUCGGCUUAGAUUCCGGCUCCGUCCAGCCACCGUUUCUGACGAAUUACUUCCAAAAUCUGUCUCUUCC
rnacentral:lncRNA from 1 species